GCCGCUUCUCCUCUCGCUGCCUUCUCCGCUCGUGCUACCUGCUGCCGUGCUGCGGACCACUGUUGCUGCCGCCGGCUCAUAAACUAAUCGGUGAACUGUUGUUGAAGCGCCGAAGGAGCAAGACUGCUGCAAGAGCAAGGUGACACUGGUGAAACAGAAAACCAUGGUCCAGGAGAGCAUAUCUGUAGUUAUUGGUUGUAGGCGUCUUUUGGUCAGUCCGGUGUAUUCCACAGUUGUGGCUAUGGAGCAUUUUUGGCCAGUUCCGUGUAUUCUACGGUUGUGGCUAUGGAGCACUGGAUAAUAGUAAUUAUCCACAAUAGCAGGUAUGUUGGUGUUACCAUGUAUCUGUGUAAACAUAAAUAGUGAGCAUUGGAUAAUAGUAGUAAUUAUAUGUUAUAACAUUGUUAGCUGCAUCUAUUUUUGUGCACAUUUUGCUUUGUAUUCGAAACUGCCAGAUAGGACAAAUAAACUAUACGUAGUACAUGUACAUAUGAACUGAAUUACACCGGGCAUCCUAAAGCCAGCGGGUAAAAACAAUGGAACAACCUGGAAGCAAGAAUGCAGCACAUGCAAAAACAUAUAAUAAUGAAGGUGUAUAAAACAUAGCUGUUUUUGGCAAAAAGAAUCAAUUCUUUCUAGUGCCUUAAUUCUGGGGCUACACAUUUGCAGCUCUUACAACUUAUCUGCGAUAAUCUGUCAAAGUACUGCAUGCAUCAAACAUUUGCU